rnacentral:rRNA from 1 species
AGCGCAUGUGUUGUGAGCUCGAUGAGUAGGGCGGGACACGUGGUAUCCUGUCUGAAUAUGGGGGGACCAUCCUCCAAGGCUAAAUACUCCUGACUGACCGAUAGUGAACCAGUACCGUGAGGGAAAGGCGAAAAGAACCCCGGCGAGGGGAGUGAAAAAGAACCUGAAACCGUGUACGUACAAGCAGUGGGAGCACCCUUUGGGGUGUGACUGCGUACCUUUUGUAUAAUGGGUCAGCGACUUAUAUUCUGUAGCAAGGUUAACCGAAUAGGGGAGCCGGAGGGAAACCGAGUCUUAAUUGGGCGUUAAGUUGCAGGGUAUAGACCCGAAACCCGGUGAUCUAGCCAUGGGCAGGUUGAAGGUUGGGUAACACUAACUGGAGGACCGAACCGACUAAUGUUGAAAAAUUAGCGGAUGACCUGUGGCUGGGGGUGAAAGGCCAAUCAAACCGGGAGAUAGCUGGUUCUCCCCGAAAGCUAUUUAGGUAGCGCCUCGUGAAUUCAUCUCCGGGGGUAGAGCACUGUUUCGGCUAGGGGGCCAUCCCGGCUUACCAACCCGAUGCAAACUGCGAAUACCGGAGAAUGUUAUCACGGGAGACACACGGCGGGUGCUAACGUCCGUCGUGAAGAGGGAAACAACCCAGACCGCCAGCUAAGGUCCCAAAGUCAUGGUUAAGUGGGAAACGAUGUGGGAAGGCCCAGACAGCCAGGAUGUUGGCUUAGAAGCAGCCAUCAUUUAAAGAAAGCGUAAUAGCUCACUGGUCGAGUCGGCCUGCGCGGAAGAUGUAACGGGGCUAAACCAUGCACCGAAGCUGCGGCAGCGACGCUGAUGCGUUGUUGGGUAGGGGAGCGUUCUGUAAGCCUGCGAAGGUGGCCUGUGAGGGUUGCUGGAGGUAUCAGAAGUGCGAAUGCUGACAUAAGUAACGAUAAAGCGGGUGAAAAGCCCGCUCGCCGGAAGACCAAGGGUUCCUGUCCAACGUUAAUCGGGGCAGGGUGAGUCGACCCCUAAGGCGAGGCCGAAAGGCGUAGUCGAUGGGAAACGGGUUAAUAUUCCCGUACUUGGUGUUACUGCGAAGGGGGGACGGAGAAGGCUAUGUUGGCCGGGCGACGGUUGUCCCGGUUUAAGCGUGUAGGUGUGUGUUCCAGGUAAAUCCGGUUCACUUUAACACUGAGGCGUGACGACGAGGCACUACGGUGCUGAAGCAACAAAUGCCCUGCUUCCAGGAAAAGCCUCUAAGCAUCAGGUAACAUCAAAUCGUACCCCAAACCGACACAGGUGGUCAGGUAGAGAAUACCAAGGCGCUUGAGAGAACUCGGGUGAAGGAACUAGGCAAAAUGGUGCCGUAACUUCGGGAGAAGGCACGCUGACACGUAGGUGAAGUGAUUUACUCAUGGAGCUGAAGUCAGUCGAAGAUACCAGCUGGCUGCAACUGUUUAUUAAAAACACAGCACUGUGCAAACACGAAAGUGGACGUAUACGGUGUGACGCCUGCCCGGUGCCGGAAGGUUAAUUGAUGGGGUCAGCGCAAGCGAAGCUCCUGAUCGAAGCCCCGGUAAACGGCGGCCGUAACUAUAACGGUCCUAAGGUAGCGAAAUUCCUUGUCGGGUAAGUUCCGACCUGCACGAAUGGCGUAAUGAUGGCCAGGCUGUCUCCACCCGAGACUCAGUGAAAUUGAACUCGCUGUGAAGAUGCAGUGUACCCGCGGCAAGACGGAAAGACCCCGUGAACCUUUACUAUAGCUUGACACUGAACAUUGAGCCUUGAUGUGUAGGAUAGGUGGGAGGCUUUGAAGUGUGGACGCCAGUCUGCAUGGAGCCGACCUUGAAAUACCACCCUUUAAUGUUUGAUGUUCUAACGUGGACCCGUGAUCCGGGUUGCGGACAGUGUCUGGUGGGUAGUUUGACUGGGGCGGUCUCCUCCUAAAGAGUAACGGAGGAGCACGAAGGUUGGCUAAUCCUGGUCGGACAUCAGGAGGUUAGUGCAAUGGCAUAAGCCAGCUUGACUGCGAGCGUGACGGCGCGAGCAGGUGCGAAAGCAGGUCAUAGUGAUCCGGUGGUUCUGAAUGGAAGGGCCAUCGCUCAACGGAUAAAAGGUACUCCGGGGAUAACAGGCUGAUACCGCCCAAGAGUUCAUAUCGACGGCGGUGUUUGGCACCUCGAUGUCGGCUCAUCACAUCCUGGGGCUGAAGUAGGUCCCAAGGGUAUGGCUGUUCGCCAUUUAAAGUGGUACGCGAGCUGGGUUUAGAACGUCGUGAGACAGUUCGGUCCCUAUCUGCCGUGGGCGCUGGAGAACUGAGGGGGGCUGCUCCUAGUACGAGAGGACCGGAGUGGACGCAUCACUGGUGUUCGGGUUGUCAUGCCAAUGGCACUGCCCGGUAGCUAAAUGCGGAAGAGAUAAGUGCUGAAAGCAUCUAAGCACGAAACUUGCCCCGAG